rnacentral:rRNA from 1 species
CUACUGGGGUAUCUAAUCCUGUUUGCUCCCCACGCUUUCGCGCCUCAGCGUCAGUAAUGGCCCAGAUGACAGCCUUCGCCACUGGUGUUCCUCCUAAUAUCUAAGAAUUUUACCUCUACACUAGGAAUUCCAUCAUCCUCUACCACACUCUAGCCUAGCAGUUUUAGAAGCAGUUCCAGAGUUAAGCUCUGGGAUUUCACUCCUAACUUACUAAACCGCCUACACGCCCUUUACGCCCAGUAAUUCCGAACAACGCUAGCCCCCUCCGUCUUACCGCGGCUGCUGGCAC